GCCUAGUUAGCUUAGUUGGUAGUGCGUCUGCCUCGUAAGCGGUAGGCCGUGGGUUCGAUUCCCGCCCGGGGCG
rnacentral:tRNA from 1 species